CGGAAGUAGACAGUUAUUCCAAACAAAAUACGAAAUUUCUUUGUAAUUUUGUUGUUUUUGUUGUUUAACUGAUCUUAAGUCCUUAAAGCAUCAGGGCCAUGAAAUCGGGCGACUCGGAAGUCAUUCUUGAGAUUGGAGAUCAUUAUCUUGUCCGACGAAAUGACAAAACUUGGCAUGCUGCUGAAAUAAUUCAGACACGUCCUAAAGAAACAUCAGGAAAUGAAUACUAUGUCCAUUAUGAAGGAUUCAAUCGUCGCCUUGAUGAGUGGGUGGAUUUGGACAGAUUUGACCUGUCAAAUAAGAUUGAGGACCAGCAGAGUAAAAUCAAAGACGUUACCGUAAUGAUGACAGAUCUCAGUGACCGCACUGACAGGAAACUUACACGUAACCAGAAACGUAAACACGAUGAAAUAAACCAUGUUCAGAAGACAUAUGCAGAAAUGGAUCCGACUACAGCAGCAUUAGAAAAAGAACAUGAAGCAAUUACAAAAGUGAAGUAUAUAGACAAGAUACAGAUAGGGAAGUAUGAGAUUGACACCUGGUACUUCUCACCAUACCCAGAGGAGUACGGCAAACAACCCAAAUUGUACAUCUGUGAAUAUUGUCUCAAAUACAUGAAACUUGAGAAAACGUUCAGAUAUCAUCAGAGUCAGUGUGUAUACAGGUUUCCUCCAGGCAAGGAGAUAUACAGGAAAGGAACUCUGUCAUUGUUUGAGGUAGACGGCAAGGAUAGUAAGAUAUAUUGCCAGAAUUUGUGUUUACUUGCCAAGUUGUUCCUGGACCACAAGACGCUGUACUUUGAUGUGGAGCCAUUCUUGUUCUAUAUCCUCACAGAAGUUGACAGGCAUGGAUGUCACUUAGUGGGAUAUUUCUCCAAGGAGAAAGAAUCUCCAGAUGGAAAUAAUGUAGCAUGUAUUCUUACCCUACCACCAUUCCAGAGGAAAGGAUAUGGAAAAUUCCUUAUAGCAUUCAGUUAUGAGUUAUCGAAGCUAGAUGGCACAGUUGGUUCACCAGAGAAACCGUUAUCUGAUCUUGGCAAGCUCAGCUACAGAAGUUACUGGUCCUGGGUACUUCUUGAAAUACUCCGUGAUUUUAGAGGAACUCUCUCAAUUAAAGAUCUCAGUGAGAUGACCAGCAUCACACAGAACGAUAUCAUCAGUACAUUACAGUCUCUUAACAUGGUGAAAUACUGGAAGGGUCAGCAUGUGAUCUGUGUCACACCAAAGCUUGUGGAGGAACAUCUGAAAAGCUCACAGUAUAAACGUCCCGUACUGACUGUAGAUACUGUCUGUCUGAGAUGGGAGCCACCACGCAAACAACAGAAACUGAAGAAAGUUUAAAUAUGCAAGCUCACAAAUAUAAUAUGACCAUUUGCUGGAAAAUCUGAUGCUUGUGAAGGAAAACGAGGACCAUUCAAAUAAAGUGUCAGCACUUUGACUAUGUGUUCUAUGCAGACUUCCAUUUUAUGACAAAAUGAAAGAAAUGUCAGCAGAAAGGAAGAAUCUUUGUUGAUAAGAAUAACAGUCUGUCUAGAUAGCUUGUGUCUGUCAAGGCUCGUCUUGUAUUUUUUCAUUGACAUAGAGAAAAUUUCUAGAGUAAUAAGGGAAAAUAAGUCCUUACACUUCAUACUUUUUUUUUCAAACUAUAAUUGAUAUGAACUGUAGUUGUUCAUAUGACAAUCUACAAAAUCAUAUCUUGUUUGAAAUGAUAUGCAUUAUGUAAUAGCUUUCAAGAAAAAUUAAGUACUGCAAAUAUAUACUGUAAAAUCAUUUAAUUUCGUGGCACAUAAUUUCGUGGUUUUGGUCAAAAUGGCAAUUUCGUGGGGAUAUGAAUUUGUGGAUUUCAACUUUUGAACAUAAAAUGAAUUGGAAUUUUACUUCUUCAUUGGGAUUAAACUUUGUGUAUUGACUCUACCAUGAAAUCCAUGAAAAUUAGUCCCCCCUACGAAUAUUAAUGAUUUCACAGUAUUUAACACUUGGUUUACUUUGUAACUUGGUGGAGAAGUCUUUAUAUCCUGGGCAAUAAUUACUGUUUCCACAUGAAAAAUACUAUAUGUGGUAGACUUAGUAACUUUAAAAAAAGUAUACUAUAUUGAAAAUGAAACAAGUAUUUGACAUUAAUAAUAAUAGCAAUAACGAUAAAAAGAGUGUUUCCAAUUUGUGCUGGAGGAGGUCUGUUCUAUAUUGACACAACAAUCAGUUAGAAUAGUUUUCAGUCAUGGAUAUCUGAGGCUAAUAUCAUGAAAUAAAGAAGCAGAUUUGAUUGAAAAUAAUGAUAGAUGAAAAUAAAAAAAAAAGAAAUGUUGUCUUAGAAGGAAAAUGGAUGCCAGUGUUCAGAUAUUUCAGAAGUUGAUAACAGGUUGUAAAAUAUCUUGCUUUAUUACAUUGAUGUGUAGGUUGAUAGACUUGUGACAGGAAACAUUAGAAUCCUUGUUACAAUGUAACCUCAGUGUCCAACAAAUUUAUAAUCUUGCUGGUAGCCCAGCAUUUUUUUGUAGUUGCCCAGAAAAUUAAAGCCCGAACAUAUAAACUUGCUCUAUCCGAACCCAACUUACUGAAAUGUGAGAAUCAAAGGGGUAUGCAACAAUGUUUGGUUAAUAAAUUUAAAAACAUCAAAAUAAACCUGUGUGUUUGUUUCAGUUCCGCGGACACAUUCAGUAUCGUAUUAGUGUGCAUAUAUGUUUGAAUGACAAUAAAUGUUUAUUUUAAUGUUAAUACAAUGUAUUGUCCAAAUAUUGUUACAGACCCCUUUGGUUAACAAUGAUGGAAAACAGAAAAAAUGGUCAAUAUUUCAUUCUCUUUAUUCAUAGAAAUUUUGACAGGUACCUUAGUCUUGAUUGACUCUUGUUAAAUUUAGUGUUAUUUCUAGAGUUCAAAAAGCAUUUCUAGAUGUUUAUAGUUAAGUAUUCAUCACAUGUAUGAUUAUUGCAUCAGUUACUUUAUAUCACAGAAUAAAGUGGUAAAUGAUAUCUUCCCAAAACCAUUACUAGAGUUUACAAAGGUUUUUGUUUUUUUCAUUACAUUAUAUUUUUGUCAAAGCAUUCAAGUCUUUUGCUUAAAAAAUGUCACCAAGGAUGUCAACUUAUUCAUAUAAAUAUGAAAUUGUGGAAGGCCUUUUAGUUUGAAACCAGGAUCAUACAACAUAAUAAAAUGGUCUGUUUCAGGUCACAUUGAACACUAAUAUUUAUCAAAACUCAUGUUAUAUUGAUUAGGUCUUUCAUAAAUAUUUCAUAAACAAGAACGUGCUGAAACAGUCUGUAAAAAAAUAUAUAUCCAAAAUAUACUAUCCGGGUUCUGGUACACUUUCGGAAUGUUGUGUUAAAGUGGUUUUUGCUCAGAUUACUUGACUCACUAAGGUAAACCAGAGAUAGUUUUUCAAAUUUUGAUGUUAAUUAUCAUAAAAAAUUACACUGAUAGCUUUUUAGAAGGAAUUAAUUUGGAAAAUUUGCAUACUGGCAGGGUGUUAUUAGAAUUGUGAACAGAUAUUCUAAACUCAUGUUAGCUUUCGAAAUUAAUUAAAAAUUGUGGAUUUUCUAGUUGAAAUUACGGUAGGACCAGACUACUUAGUUAUAUACUUAUUAUAGUAAACAAUGGUGUAAUUUAAAGGUUGCAUGAAGAAAUCUUACAUGGCACUUUUCACAUGCUAGGUGAUCAGCUGGCCGCUUACAGAUAAUUCAUUAAUUGGCGUGUUUUUGUCGUGGUUUUCCUCUUUUUUUUUAUGGAUUAAUACUCUAUAUCAAUUAAUAUUAACACUUUAAUGAUUCUCAUUACCUCUGCACUCGCUGUGACGUAAUCUGUUGAUAAAAAUCGGUGAGAAGGCAGGAGAAUGUUUCUGCAGCUACCGUUGAAAUUAUCGAUAAUGGGCGGGAUUAAAUAUAAACUAGUUUAAACCAUUUACGACUGGAUAAUCAUUACACAUGGUCAUCUGUUGUUUAUUGCAAGCUAAAAUCGAGUAAACACCCGGAUAUGAUUUUGUAAAUAAUACAACGACUGGGCUACUGAUGCUUUAGAUUUAUGGUUGCCCAGCGGGCUUACUUCCGGAUUUUUUUGGUAGCCCGACGAAAAUUUCUGGUAGCCCGCGGGCUCCGGGCAAUUGAUUUGUUGGACACUGAACCUAAGUAAUUUCAGAAUUACCAGAUAUAAUAGACAGGUUUUUGCCAUUUCGUGUGAAAAACACAUAAAAUUGUUAUUUGCAUGCUGUUAUUAAUUUUUGAAAUUUCUUCAACUGGGGUGCCAUUUUCAAAUGUUAAUCCUAAUACUCUUUUUUUUUUUGUUAGUUCUUAUGUUUUUGUGUUGUUGUUUUUUUAUUGAGUUCUUUUUAACAUAGAAUCAAACAGAGACAUUAUCACCAGGAUUCAUAUCAACAUGGUUACUCCUUACCAAUUUGUGUUCAGAAUAGUUUCUGUUUGUAGAAAACUUUAUGUUGUAUUGCCUGUCAUCAAAUAUAGCCAAUUUCAUUUGUAAUUAUUUUAUUCAAAUUCAUCACUGGUGAAAAUCUUUAAAAUAUUUAAAGUUUGUUGUUGUUUAGGGGCAACCUUUCAGAUCUUGUUUCAGUAUUCUAGAAAUUUUAUAUUUGUUACAUAUUUAUUUGAUUACAGGAAAUAUUGACCAAUAAUACUUUAUAUUAGACAAUUAUUGACUUCUGAGCCAUUAAAUAUUAAUAUUUGCCAGAGGAGGGAUAUACUGACCAGGGCAAUACCCAAAAUCAGUAUUGCCUACUUCUAAUAAAUAUCACAUAUGCAGUAGCUCAAGAGAUUGUCUUCUUCCUUUUCUGUGGCAGGAGAACUUACCAGUAUUUCCUAGCUUUAGACAGAAAAACACAGCUGAAAACACAGAAAAAUUGAAUAUGAUAUAUAUUCAGUGUGAAAGGUAGCAGUUUCCAUCAAUGGGAAAUGAGUUUAUUAGUAGAUAAUAUAAAAACAGUUGCAGUCUUAUUAAAUGAAACUUUGAUAUUCAUGUUGGAGCAUGCCCCUUUAAAAAGCAUAAUUUGUGUAGACAUUUUGUAAACUUUAGUAAAUCUCAUUGUUUAUAUUAUUUCUGUAACAUUUAAAAAAAAAAUCUUGUUUUGUUCUCUUGUUUCUUAUCAGUGUUUCAACUUGAUAACAAAAUACUACACUUUUGUAUGUGUUCAUAAACUGCCGAGACCAAAUUCAUUGCCAGCCCAUUGUUAUAGAACAUAGAAGAAAAAUUCAAAUUGAGACCUGGAAAAGUGCUGUAGACUGUUCUUUUACUCUUCAUGGUACUUGAAAUUGCAAGUUAAAGUUGUCAAGAGUAUGCAUUUAAAUUUUUGCAGUUCACAGACUUGUUUGUGUUGUAAAAAAAUCUGCUUAGAUAUGCAGUGUUUAUGCUGUAUCAGCUGGCUGGAACAUAAUUCAUGGCAUAUUGUCAAUUUCAGCAUGGAGGUAAUAUAGAGACCAUCUCUAUAUUACCUCCAUGAUUUCAGCAAGAAAACAGCAAUGGUCUUGACAAAAAAACAGGAUAAUAAAUUUCUAUUAUUGAAGCAGUAUACAUAUUACUUCAGUUUUACAUUUGUCUUAUAUUGAUGAAGAAACAAGUUCUGUUCACUUACAUUAUGUUUAUGGAGACAAAUAUUCACCUCUGUGUAGUGUCACUGUGUCAGUCACUGCCAUGACUUUUCAUUAGCAUAAUAAGAUAACUGAAGUGUGAUGAAUAAGUGUCUUUAUAGAUGGUAUUGCAGCUGUUAGUGACAGUGCAGCCUGCUUUCAUUAGUGUUCCAAGUCACAGAAACACUUUGGAUAUGAAGAAUUUCGUUCUGUUUCAGUUUGAAGUGUAAUGAAACUUUAAAAGUGACAAAAUUAAUGAAAACAGUCAGAUUUAUGAAAGAAAUGUAUGUUGAUCUGCACCUUCCCCGGAUCUGUCACUGGGGAGAUAUGUCGUAUUUUGUAUAUUUUGGAUUGGUUUAAUCGAUGUUAGUUUAAACUUCUUGCAUCCUCUGAUUGUUGUUUUGGUUUGAAAGAAUGUUAGCCAAUGCAGAUACAUGUUUUUGUAUAUUAUUUUUCCUGUUUGAAACUUAUCUUUUCUAAAUAAGAACAAAGGUUUUGUUUAAAUGUUCACACUUUCUAUCACUCUGUUUAACAUUGCCAAACUAGAAUUAAAAAUGAAAAUCUUU
rnacentral:misc_RNA from 1 species